UAGGGAAUCUUCCACAAUGGACGAAAGUCUGAUGGAGCAACGCCGCGUGAGUGAUGAAGGGUUUCGGCUCGUAAAACUCUGUUGUUGGAGAAGAACGGGUGUCAGAGUAACUGUUGACAUCGUGACGGUAUCCAACCAGAAAGCCACGGCUAACUACGUGCCAGCAGCCGCGGUAAUACGUAGGUGGCAAGCGUUGUCCGGAUUUAUUGGGCGUAAAGCGAGCGCAGGCGGUUUUUUAGGUCUGAUGUGAAAGCCUUCGGCUUAACCGGAGAAGUGCAUCGGAAACCGGGAGACUUGAGUGCAGAAGAGGACAGUGGAACUCCAUGUGUAGCGGUGAAAUGCGUAGAUAUAUGGAAGAACACCAGUGGCGAAGGCGGCUGUCUGGUCUGCAACUGACGCUGAGGCUCGAAAGCAUGGGUAGCGAACAGGAUUAGAUACCCUGGUAGUCCAUGCCGUAAACGAUGAGUGCUAAGUGUUGGAGGGUUUUCCGCCCUUCAGUGCUGCAGCUAACGCAUUAAGCACUCCGCCUGGGGGAGUACGACCGCAAGG
rnacentral:rRNA from 1 species